rnacentral:lncRNA from 1 species
UUUCUUUUUAGUUGUUUUUUAUUGUCUUUUUCAUUUAUUUAUUCCUUUCCUACUUUGCAUUAUAUUUGAGCUACUAAAACAGUUUUGUUUAAAACAAAACUUGGCACAAAAAUACAGUGCAAUAUUCUGGGUUGCUACAAAAGGUUUCAAAGCAUUUGGGAGUGUUCAACUAUUUAUAGAAAUUGAAUAGGUCAAUUAAUUGUUGCCGGACCACUUAAUUAAAUUCCAGGGGCAUUUUGUGAAUUCACAUGAGGUUGGUUUUCAACAUGACAAUGAUCAGGGGAAUUUAUAGAAUAAUGUGAACAAUUUAGUUUUGACAAUUGAAAAGAAUUAUUUUUUACUUUAAAUUUAAAUUUGAAUUUGAACCGGUUUCGAAUCAACAUGAGUUUAACAACAGUGAUCGUGGUGACGUGGCAUCAUUUGUGUGUGAUUACUGUAGCUUAACUACCGGGGUGUUACAAAUCUCCUCCACUACAAGAAAUCUCGUCCCGAGAUUUAAGUGGUGGGGUAAGGGGAAAAGUUUUGGUUACGAAAUUCUAAUGGAUCUUCUUGGUCUUGCUUGCUCUUCUCUAAGAUGUCGAUCCAUUACGUUGAUGUCUUCAUUCCUAUGCUCCAGGUCAUCAUGAUGGAGUCGGCGUCCUUUCUUCAGGAACUCCAUCAUACUUACGAAAGAAUAAAGGGUGGGCAUUCUGGGAGAACGGACCUGCAAUGUUGACUAUCUAGUAGCCAACCUCAAGGUGGCGGAAAGUAACUCUCGAACUGAAACUUAAGAAAAUACCGAGAGGAAAGUAAGAAAGUACCAUGAGAAGUUUCAAGCGGCUAGGCAAUCGCUCGGUGCCUAAAACAAAGUAUAAAAGGGGGUCUAGAGCAAUGGGAAUAAGUUUUGUGUCUGAUACCAGAACUGAUGAUAUCUCAGAAGGUGGAUCGUGAAUUACAUAUGAGGCCACACGCGAGGAAUAACUUUGGAAACAGGAGGGCGUACAGGAGAGUCAGGUUUCGAUCCUGUGGAACUGUGGGUUAUGGGCCCACCAUGUGGGUUAAAAGCAGGAAGGCACUAACAUUUGCACGGUCAAGAUAGCAAGGUAUGUCAGAGGAUAGCCUGUCAGUUUUGUUGGAAACAACGUUGGUACCUAGGGCAAGGGACGAAGAGAACCAUUUUCCCGCUCGUCGGACGAGGCGGACCAAUAGGCAAGGUUCUCGUCCAUCGGUGGUUACCAGAAUGUCAUCAACAACAGUAACAGGGUCUUACUAACAGAGGGGUACAACGAGGUGCUCACCUAAGCAGGGAAUUAUCACUACUCAGUUGAGUAGAUUACGAGAAAGAUUAAACAAAACAAUGGAAAGGAAAAUGUGAUCAUCAGAUUAAACAGAACAGUGGAAAGGAAAAUGUGUUUAACACAUAUUUCAAGGGUGUACCUUCCCAACGACAAGGGGAGCAAGAUAUCCACGACAGGAUAUAAAGUAGAAAACCAUUUAGGUAAGGGGAGAUAAAUUUCAUGACAUUACCCAUGCAACAGUGUUUGGAUAAUUGAGCACGAAACAUUUAGCAUUGGGCUUCAAAUGUUCUUGUUGAAAAUCGGAGUACCACAGACAUGCUUCGAGAUAGCAUUGACAUGGUCACUGUGUAAAGAUCCGACUUUGGAUACACAAAGGAUCCAUCAGGAACAUCUUGUAUAAUAGGUCUUACAAUUUCCUCAUGGAAGAAUGGAUAAUGUUACUAAAAUGGAAACUAUGACAAUAGGUCCGCCGUCCAGGUGUCCUAGGCAUGACGUCACCUUAUCGGGUCAAAGACUAAUGUUAUAACUCCUGGAAUUAUGUUCCAACCAUCAUGUCUGACCGAGAUUCAAAUCUGAUUGGUGCCAGGAUGCCUCAGACUCAGGAUGCCUGAGGAGAAAAGGUGCAACACAAUUGACGAGACGACAUUGUAAGAUUCUCGGGAAAUGUACUAUGGAAGCGAGUUCCGAAACAAGAGUUCAUCAUUAAAACCAAGGAGAGGAUGAAGAGGUGGCUGAUGAACUCAGCGAAAAUUCAUUGAGAUUUUCAAAAGAUGGAUUUCCACACUUAUGUGAACAAGGAGAUAACAUUUGUCGAAUCAAAUGAUAUAAGGAUGUAUGCUCGAGGAAAACAUACACAAUUAAGCAUUGGUUGAAAAGUGCACCCAAAAUAUGGUCUUAGGUAGCAUGAUCAAUGUUAGAAAGGUAAUUCAACAAGCAACAGUCUAAGAAUGAAAUAUCGACCAUUAACUUGAAAGCAAUAGGGUUGCUAGAAACACGAACAAGUUUGUGUUGAACGGAAGACAAUAAAGUGGUUGAUGAUAACACAAAUCAUCAAGGGCAAGGAUGGUAUUUCUCAUCAUGAAUUCGAUUGAUAUCCUGGAAGGAGUCAAGAUGUUGAUAAUGAUCAUGACAAAUUUUGUCGAGAGGUUCCACGAAGAAGCAAUCAAACAACGACUACAUCAAACAACAUGGCUGAUGCAGAGAAAGAUUAUUGGAACCACAUAUACGACACAAACUCGAAAUCGAGAUUGUUGUCCAAGGCGAAAUGAUACGAUGAGGAAAAUCGACGUCAGCUUAGCUCAUCAUCAAAAUUUGUGCUCCGGGAAGAAGGACCAGGUAGCACAGUUAAAAUCAUCACGAUAAUGAUAUAGCCAAACAAGUUAAGAAUGACGUGAUCGGGUAUAAUCCAUAAGUAAAGAAGAUUACUAAAGGUUGUUGAACCGUAGUGCGGACUCGAUUCAGUUAUCGGUGUCUGUUUAAUAACUUAGAGCCCGUGAAAAGUGGAAUCAGUGAGAAUGCAGUACUUGAGGAAGAACUCAUAAAUUAUGCAGUUCAUGAUAAUCUCGAGAUACCAGGGGGUAAUACUCGACGACAGAUCAAAGUAGAGGUCAGACUAGGGUAUUGCUCUGUAGAAGAUAAGUGCUUAAACUUGCACGAGAAAUGGUAUUUAAAUGAGAACAUGGUCGGAACCACGAUUGCAAAAGAUCAAUUCACAGAUACCAAAUGAUAAGGGAGUAACUAUUAUUACAAGAAGCUUCCAUGAUAGGGUAUACAUCGGGUCCAUGGGCAUGAACACAGGGUUCAAGGUCGACUCCCACUUGUUCAACGUAUAACCUUUCAUUCACCUCUCGCUUUUCAAAAAUGACAUUAGUUGUUGAAAGUUUUACCUGGUGCAAUACUAGAUGAUUAUGACCCGUGGAAUCUUUCGGGUUUACACAGAGUAAGGAAGGCAUAGGUUUAGUCCAUCGGGGCAUCUUACGAACACAUAACCCCAACUUCAUGAGCGAAUAACUCAAGCUCGGGAGCAGAGCAUGGUUGACAAAAGCAGGGGAUACAAUUUACAAAAGGCAUUAUGUAUCCGAUGAAAGGCUCACAAGUUUAAUGAAUAUGAAGGACGGUGUCGGACAAAAUCCAACAAAGGAUCUGGUGGUACAUAAGGGAUCUGAUGUGAGUAUCAGUACUCAACCAGAGGAAGAAAGAAUGCAAGGAUAUCAGAUUAUAGAAACAACUGACUAACUCAAAGCUCAAAUGCAAAGGAAUUAUGAAUUCCAAGACAAGGGAUCAGAAGCAAUGCUCUGAUUAGGGAUGGAUAAGUUGAAUAGGCUUACGGGUACAAUCGAUGGCAAUUUGGUUGGUCGAGAUCCAGCUCACGUUUAAAAUGACGUCUGAGCCGGAAGGAUAAUCCUAGGAUUCGACUGAUGAUUGUGAACAUUUGCAACUUAUUGAAUCAAUGGACUCAAAAAUGAUAGUGACCAAGGAUGCCACUAGUAUUUGUAUACUUAUGGGAUUAACCAUAAUGCAAGCAAGCAAGAAUUUCAAGAGCAAUAGGCUGCUCAGGAUUUUCGUAAGACCGAAUGAUAUUUCAAAAACUUUUGUGAAACACAUGAUCAAUGGGGAAUGGUUGUAUGAAUGGCAAGUGUAUGUCGUAGUUAUCCAUAAGGAUAUUACGGUGGUAGGGAAUUGCAAAGGCGAUGAGCACAUGUUCUCGGGAGAACAUCGAAGAGUAUCUUCGGAUUCUUCUGGUGUAGUAGUCGACCAUCGGUAAUAAGAUUCUCUCCAGGUGAAAGUGACCACGAGAUCCUAAUGUUAGAUUUAGCAAAAUUCAUUUAACCCGAAUAGAGGGGAGAUCAGAGUCCCAGAGCAUAGAUCGAGGAGUAAAAGAUACUAAUACCACCCAAUGGCGACGUGGGCCCGUAAGGCACACAACCAUGUUAGUAAAAGUUUUUGUAAUGUCUAGACUCGACUUCGGCCAAGGAGUGUGCAAGGGGGAUUCCUACAGGCAGUCGGCUCUGAUACCAACUUGUGACGCCCCCGAUUCAAUCGUACACUAAUCAUACAUGCAAACGUGUACGAUCAAGAUCAGGGACUCACAGGAAGAUAUCACAACACAACUCUACAAAUAAAAUAAGUCAUACAAGCAUCAUAUUACAAGCCAGGGGCCUCGAAGGCUCGAAUACAAGAGCUCGAUCAUAGACGAGUCAGCGGAAGCAACAAUAUCUGAGUACAGACAUAAGUUAAACAAGUUUGCAUUAAGAAGGCUAGCACAAACUGGGAUACAGAUCGAAAGAGGCGCAGGCCUCCUGCCUGGGAUCCUCCUAAACUACUCUUGGUCACCGUCAGCGGGCUGCAUGUAGUAGUAGGCACCUCCCGAGUAGUAGUAGUUGUCGUCGGUGGCGUCGGGCUCCUGGACUCCAACGUCUGGUUGCAGCAAUCGGAUAUAGGAAAGGGGAAAAGGGGGAGAAAGGCAACCGUGAGUACUCAUCCAAAGUACUCGCAAGCAAGGAGCUACACUACAUAUGUAUGCAUUGGUAUCAACUGGAAUAAGGCUAUUAUAUAUGGACUGAACUGCAGAAAGCCGGAAUAAGGGGGAAAAGCUAGUCCUUUUGAAGACUACGCUUCUGGCAACCUCCAUCUUGCAGCAUGUAGGAGAGAGCAGAUGGUAAGUUCACCAAGUAACAUCGCAUAGCAAUAAUCUUAACCGAUGAUCCUCCCUUCGUCACCCUGUGAGAGAGCGACCACCGGUUGUAUCUGGCACUUCGAAGGGUGUGUUUUAUUAAGUAUCCGGUUCUAGUUGUCAUAAGGUCAAGGUACAACUCUGGGUCGUCCUUUUACCGAGGGACACGGCUAUUCGAAUAGAUUAACUUCCCUGCAGGGGUGCACCACAUAACCCAACACACUCGAUCCCAUUUGGCCGGACACACUUUCCUGGGUCAUGCCCGGCCUCGGAAGAUCAACACGUCGCCGCCCUACCUAGGCCCAACAGAGAGGUCAGCACGCCGGUCUAAAUCCUAUGGCGCAGGGGUCUGGGCCCAUCGCCCUUUGCACACCUGCACGUUGCGAACGCGGCCGGUGAGCAGACCUAGCAACCUCCAUUACAAAGGAAGUUGCGUUAUGCGGUCCAACUCGGCGCGCGCCGCUCAGUCGCUGACGUCACGAAGGCUUCGGCUGAUACCACGGCAUCGAGUGCCCAUAACUGUCCCCGCGUAGAUGGUUAGUGCGUAUAUGCCAGUAGCCAAACUCGGAUCAAAUACCAAGAUCUCGUUAAACGUGUUAUCUUGAAGACACCGCUAACGUCGACCAGGGCCAGGACCACCUUUCUCCUAGGUGGUCUCAACCUGCCCUGCCGCUCCGCCACAAAGAUCCACCCAGAGGGCCGUCGGGACAAAGGUCCUUUCAGCCCCCAAUCCGUGAAUCACUCGCGGGUACUCCUCGAGCCAACCCGACUUUAGUCAUCACAUGUAUCAUGUAUACAGUAUAGGUAUAUACCCGUGAUCAACUCCCGAGUGAUCACGGCCCGAUAGUAUAGCAUGGCAGACGGACAAUAAUGUAUGGCCACUAAUGAUAAACUAGUAUCCUAUACUAAGCAUUAGGAUUGCAGGUAAAGGUAACAACAGUUGUAGCAAGAAUGACAUGUUAUGCAUCAGGAUAGGAUUAAUGCAAAGCAGUAACAUGCUACACUACUCUAAUGCAAGUAGUAUAGAGGAGAGUAGGCGAUAUCUGGUGAUCAAGGGGGGGGGCUUGCCUGGAGGCUCUGCGGAUGAAAGGAAUCUUCGGAAGCGUAGCCGUAGUCGAACACCAAAGCAUCAAUGGUCUCUGGGUCUAUAGCGGUAUCGGAGUCUACCGAAAAGAAGCAACGAAGGGGAAACAAAUAAAUAACAGAGCAAACAAUAGCAUCACAAAAUAUAACAAGGCAAUACGCGGUGUCAGGGGUGAGCUAACGCAAGGAUAGGUGAUACCGGCGAAGGGGAAAACAACCGGAAAAGUUUUCCCGGUGUUUCGUGUUUUCGGACAGACGGACCGGAGGUGAAAGGUUGCAGGUUCGCUAUGCUAGGGACGUAUGGCGGACAAACGGAUUGCGUAUCCGGAUUCGUCUCGUCAUUUUGAGCAACUUUCAUGUACAAAGUUUUUUCAUCUGAGCUACAUUUUAUUUUAUAUUGAUUUUUAAAGUUUUAAUUCAUUUUCCAGAAUUACUAAAAUUCUGCUAAGUCCUUAGUUUUAAAUAUCAUUUAGCUGUUUUCCAGAGGCUAUAACUAGUCUUCUAUUCAUCCUAUGAAUUGGUGCCUUAUACCAAUAUUGAUCACUUUCAUGUGGUCUACAAGAUGGUAACAACUGCAUCAUUGUUAGAUCCUUGUAUCAUGUUUAUUUCCUGCUCCAAAGUUGCUAUAGCAGUAUAUCUGUCUUUUUACUUCUGCCAGUUAACAGAAUAUAGACUUUUGUCAUUUUCAUAGGAAUUAAUCCACGCAACUUUUGGAUUUGGUCCAAUGGAAAGAAUUGAACCUUGUCAAGUGUACUACCUGCACAUAUUUAUUUUAGCUAUGUUGAGCUUUGUUUAGAUCCUAUUUUGAGGCUGUUUAGGGGGCUAACCAGUUCGGUUUUAGAAAAGCUAGCAGCACUGUAGCAGCGCUGCACUAGUAGCAGCAGCAUUAUAGCAAGCAGCGGCGCUCGUGGCAGCGAUGCAGCAGGAGCAAGGCGGCAUCACGGCAGCAGGGGCAAGCGGGUGCGUGUGUGGCGGCAGAGGCUGCAGGCGGAAGGGCGUGGGCGCGGUUGGAGGAGGCGGGCAGCAGAAGGAGGAGGCGAGGCGAUCCGGAGUGCUCGGGCGCGAGCGGCAGCGGCGACCAGCGCGGCGGUGCGCGUCGAGCAGCAGUAGCCAGCGGACGGCGCAAGGCGCGGGCAGAGGGCGGCACAGCAGGCGUGCGAGCGUGAGGCGGCAUGGGCUCGGGCACACGGGGCGUGGACUGGGCGGGGGCGACGCCGCUCGGGACGCGGGGGUGGGCGCGAUGACCGCGGCCACUAUCAGGAGCACGGGCGGCGCGGACGACGGCCGAGGAGCACGGCGGCUGAACCGCAGACGCGGCGAGUAGCCAAGCGCGUAGGGGUGGCUGUGCAAGCAGGCAAAUGGCGGGGGGGGGCGCGGGAUGAGCUAUGGACGAAGGCGACAAAAGCUACAGCGUGGCAAGGCGGAGCAUGGCCACGGGUGAGGGGAGUGAAGGACUCGGGCGGGCGAUCUAGACAGGUAACAGGAGAGGGACGGGAUGGGAGCCUCACCGUGGAGGCACACAUAGGCCCAGUGAAAGCUUAGGAGCAGUAGGGAGUGGCGGAUCGACGCGGACGACGACAGUGAUCCGAGGAAGAAGGCGAAGUGGGCGACGGCGCUGGUGGUCCUCCUCGUCGAUCCAGGAUCGUAGGCGAUGGUGAUUGCCGGGGAUGCAGAAGACGGGACCAGCUCGAUCUGCGUGCAAUGGCAUCGCCCAGCUCGAAUGGACGGCUUCAGAUGACGAAGACGAGCGAGGUGGUGCUCGUGGAGACGAGCUACGGGCGCGGAAACGCUGGUGGCCGCGACGGAGCAUGGUGGUCGGUGACGGCCGCGCUCGAGAGAUGGGGAAUCGGUGAGGAGGGAGAGAGCAAGGUGAGUGGAGAGCGCUGGGGCAUGUGGAAGUGGGCGGAGGCAGGGGAAGAAAAUAUCUAGGAGGGGUGGCUCGGUGGAGGCCUUAUCCUGCUGGCCAUCGCCGGUGAGGGGGUUCGACGGGGACGAGCACGAGUGGACGCUCGGUCGGACGCGCCCGAGGUACAGGGAACAGGGGCGAGGGGUUAGAGUGUGCCGGCUGGACCAGUUGGGUCAAGGCCCAGGGGGCAUGGGGUUGUGGGGCUUUUCUUUUUAGUUGUUUUUAUUGUCUUUUUCAUUUAUUUAUUCCUUUCCUACUUUGCAUUAUAUUUGAGCUACUAAAAAAGUUUUGUUUAAAACAAAACUUGGCACAAAAAUACAGUGCAAUAUUCUGGGUUGCUACAAAAGGUUUCAAAGCAUUUGGGAGUGUUCAACUAUUUAUAGAAAUUGAAUAGGUCAAUUAAUUGUUGCCGGACCACUUAAUUAAAUUCCAGGGGCAUUUUGUGAAUUCACAUGAGGUUGGUUUUCAACAUGACAAUGAUCAGGGGAAUUUAUAGAAUAAUGUGAACAAUUUAGUUUUGACAAUUGAAAAGAAUUAUUUUUU